GAGGGUUCUGCUCUUAGUGGAGGCUAUUACUCUGUGCAAAGCCAGACAAGGCUCCUGUCUUUCUCUGUGUCACCCAGAAGAAGCUGAAGCAGAACAUCGCUCCCUGGGCUGAGAGGAGGAUGUGCCUGUGCCCCUGAUCCCUCCUUAGGACACUUCCUUAGGAAGGUCACAGCACACUUACCACCAGACCAUCACAGCAGAUGACACUUCUACUACAGGCACAAACUGCACAGUAUCAGCACAUUUAACAGCCCAGAGGAUCUUUUUCUCCAUGAAUUUCUCUUGUAUUUUAGGACUUUACAAGCAUCUCUGGCCCAGGAGAGAAUGGUAGUGUUUCAGAUUCCUCAAAUCAAAUGGAUGAAGUGACACCAAAGAUGUAUUUCCUGCAUGUUGACUACAUUCAAGUACAUCACAAAUGAUAUACUCUGAAAUAAGAAGGGCUUGCCAUUCUGCCAAGGCUGAGUGCAUUGAUUAUGUUAAUGCAGAAGGGAAGAAAGUUGCAGAUAUGGCACUGCAGAAAUGAUGCAUAAGGGAAAAAUCAAAUUCAUGGAGGUAAUACAAAGUUGAAGAAAUAGUGAGUUGAUCAUGGAAUGAUCCAGUCCAAUAAAUGUUUACAGAAUGAUAAAGUAUGAAAAGGUCUAUAGGAUGAUACCCAACAGUCUGUCACUUUCAAUGGAGUGUGGUGCCCCUGAACCUCUGUGUUAAAGAAUAAAUUAUGUCUCUGUGUAUUAGUGCAACUUUGAAAUUUGGUAGAAGGUACAUAAACAAGAUGCCACACCUCUUAUUUCCAAAACCAAGAAUUACAUAUAGGGGAGGAAGCUCUGCCAAAGGGUAAAGCCCUAGCAAGCAGCAGAAGUGCUUCAAAGAUACCACGUGAGAAUUCAGGCCAUCCCAUUUUAGAAAGAGAAAAAGCAAUCCAGCAUGGCUGAACAGAAAGGGUAGGGAAUGUUAAUAGAUGCAAGAACAUUCAAAAGCUGAAAAGAGAACAACCAGAAAAAUCAUAAAACUCCAUAUAAUACACAUGAAGAAGCAGAACAGGAAGGAGAUGAACUUCCAAAUGGCACCAGUACAAAGAAAGUCUUUUCCACACACAUCAGAAGCAGCAAGCCUGCUGGAGCAUCAGUAUGGCAAACAGAGGAUCAAGAUGCAUCAACAGUUUUAAAAAGAUAAGCCUUAGAAAAAAACCCAAAUGGAUUCAUUCCACCUGUGUACACAGUGAAGGAGUGAGUAUAGAGAGCUCACCAUGGCAGAACCUUGAUCGUAAUUGAUGUUUAAGGAAAAUCUGUCUGUAGUCAAGAUUUUUGUAGAAGUUUGUGGAAUAAAUAGACAGGAAGAGCAGUAACUACCAGAUCUGGCAGUAUUCCCAAAAGAUUUUAGAUGAAUUUCCAAGUGAAAGAACUGAGCUGCUAACUGAGCUGCUAAUAGUGUGUGAUGUUUCACUUAAGUCUUUGGUGCAGAAGGCUGGCAGUGAGAUCAUAUGAUACAAACUUUUAAAUGGCAUUCCAGGGAAUGAGUAUGGAUGUCAUGAAGAUGAAUAAUGAAAAUUUACUGAUACUCUCAAUACAAAGAUUAGUUAGGACAUGAAAUUAAACUACCAAGAUGCCUUUUUCACACAAUGCACAGAUUAUUAGACCCUUCCAGAGGAUGCUGGUUGCUAAAAAUUUGUACAGGAUAGAAAUUGAACUAAUUAGUGGAAGGAAAGCUCACAGAGGGUUAAGCACAAAGGUAUUACCACUGGCUUAGGAAACACUUUAAAUGCAAAUCACUGGAUUCUAGGAAAAUACUCAUCAAAGACCAACAGUCCCAUUUUAACACUCUUCUGUACAUAUUUGCUGUUUGCUGCUGUCAGAGACAACGUGUAGGAUUAGUAUGGAGUCCUGAUGGUGUUAGCUUUUAUGUUCCAAUGGUUUUAUGAAGCAAAUUAAUUUUUGCUAGCUGUUUGCAGGUAAUUAAUAGGAAGAGGGCAGAUUCCUUCUCCAGAAUCAUCCUCAAUAACCGGUAUCUGCACAGGAUUGGGAUUAGAAGUUACUCCCUGGAAGAUGAACAAAU